CCAACACCAUUUUAGUUUCAGAUGCGUCCAACACCAUUUUGGUUUUGGAUGUAUCCAUCACCAUUUUGUUGUUGAAUGCAUCCAACACCAUUUUGGUGUUGGAUGCAUCUGAAACCAAAAUGGUGUUGG